GGGUUGUGAGGUUAAGCGACUAAGCGUACACGGUGGAUGCCCUGGCAGUCAGAGGCGAUGAAGGACGUGCUAAUCUGCGAAAAGCGUCGGUAAGGUGAUAUGAACCGUUAUAGCCGGCGAUGUCCGAAUGGGGAAACCCAGUGUGAUUCGUCACACUAUCGUUAACUGAAUACAUAGGUUAACGAGGCGAACCGGGGGAACUGAAACAUCUAAGUACCCCGAGGAAAAGAAAUCAACCGAGAUUCCCCCAGUAGCGGCGAGCGAACGGGGAGCAGCCCAGAGUCUGAAUCAGCUUGUGUGUUAGUGGAACGGUCUGGAAAGUCCGACGGUACAGGGUGAUAGUCCCGUACACCAAAAUGCACAGGCUGUGAACUCGAAGAGUAGGGCGGGACACGUGGUAUCCUGUCUGAAUAUGGGGGGACCAUCCUCCAAGGCUAAAUACUCCUGACUGACCGAUAGUGAACCAGUACCGUGAGGGAAAGGCGAAAAGAACCCCGGCGAGGGGAGUGAAAAAGAACCUGAAACCGUGUACGUACAAGCAGUGGGAGCACCUUCGGGUGUGACUGCGUACCUUUUGUAUAAUGGGUCAGCGACUUAUAUUCUGUAGCAAGGUUAACCGUAUAGGGGAGCCGCAGGGAAACCGAGUCUUAACUGGGCGUUAAGUUGCAGGGUAUAGACCCGAAACCCGGUGAUCUAGCCAUGGGCAGGUUGAAGGUUGGGUAACACUAACUGGAGGACCGAACCGACUAAUGUUGAAAAAUUAGCGGAUGACUUGUGGCUGGGGGUGAAAGGCCAAUCAAACCGGGAGAUAGCUGGUUCUCCCCGAAAGCUAUUUAGGUAGCGCCUCGUGAACUCAUCUUCGGGGGUAGAGCACUGUUUCGGCUAGGGGGUCAUCCCGACUUACCAACCCGAUGCAAACUACGAAUACCGAAGAAUGUUAUCACGGGAGACACACGGCGGGUGCUAACGUCCGUCGUGAAGAGGGAAACAACCCAGACCGCCAGCUAAGGUCCCAAAGUCAUGGUUAAGUGGGAAACGAUGUGGGAAGGCACAGACAGCCAGGAUGUUGGCUUAGAAGCAGCCAUCAUUUAAAGAAAGCGUAAUAGCUCACUGGUCGAGUCGGCCUGCGCGGAAGAUGUAACGGGGCUAAACCAUGCACCGAAGCUGCGGCAGCGACACUAUGUGUUGUUGGGUAGGGGAGCGUUCUGUAAGCCUGCGAAGGUGACCUGUGAGGGUUGCUGGAGGUAUCAGAAGUGCGAAUGCUGACAUAAGUAACGAUAAAGCGGGUGAAAAGCCCGCUCGCCGGAAGACCAAGGGUUCCUGUCCAACGUUAAUCGGGGCAGGGUGAGUCGACCCCUAAGGCGAGGCCGAAAGGCGUAGUCGAUGGGAAACAGGUUAAUAUUCCUGUACUUGGUGUUACUGCGAAGGGGGGACGGAGAAGGCUAUGUUAGCCGGGCGACGGUUGUCCCGGUUUAAGCAUGUAGGCUGAUUGUCCAGGCAAAUCCGGAUAAUCAAGGCUGAGGUGUGAUGACGAGGCACUACGGUGCUGAAGUAACAAAUGCCCUGCUUCCAGGAAAAGCCUCUAAGCAUCAGGUAACAUUAAAUCGUACCCCAAACCGACACAGGUGGUCAGGUAGAGAAUACCAAGGCGCUUGAGAGAACUCGGGUGAAGGAACUAGGCAAAAUGGUGCCGUAACUUCGGGAGAAGGCACGCUGGUGUGUAGGUGAAGUCCCUGCGGAUGGAGCUGAGACCAGUCGAAGAUACCAGCUGGCUGCAACUGUUUAUUAAAAACACAGCACUGUGCAAACACGAAAGUGGACGUAUACGGUGUGACGCCUGCCCGGUGCCGGAAGGUUAAUUGAUGGGGUUAUCCGUAAGGAGAAGCUCUUGAUCGAAGCCCCGGUAAACGGCGGCCGUAACUAUAACGGUCCUAAGGUAGCGAAAUUCCUUGUCGGGUAAGUUCCGACCUGCACGAAUGGCGUAAUGAUGGCCAGGCUGUCUCCACCCGAGACUCAGUGAAAUUGAACUCGCUGUGAAGAUGCAGUGUACCCGCGGCAAGACGGAAAGACCCCGUGAACCUUUACUAUAGCUUGACACUGAACAUUGAGCCUUGAUGUGUAGGAUAGGUGGGAGGCUUUGAAGCGUGGACGCCAGUCUGCGUGGAGCCAACCUUGAAAUACCACCCUUUAAUGUUUGAUGUUCUAACGUUGGCCCCUGACCGGGGUUGCGGACAGUGUCUGGUGGGUAGUUUGACUGGGGCGGUCUCCUCCCAAAGCGUAACGGAGGAGCACGAAGGUUAGCUAAUCCUGGUCGGACAUCAGGAGGUUAGUGCAAUGGCAUAAGCUAGCUUGACUGCGAGCGUGACGGCGCGAGCAGGUGCGAAAGCAGGUCAUAGUGAUCCGGUGGUUCUGAAUGGAAGGGCCAUCGCUCAACGGAUAAAAGGUACUCCGGGGAUAACAGGCUGAUACCGCCCAAGAGUUCAUAUCGACGGCGGUGUUUGGCACCUCGAUGUCGGCUCAUCACAUCCUGGGGCUGAAGUAGGUCCCAAGGGUAUGGCUGUUCGCCAUUUAAAGUGGUACGCGAGCUGGGUUUAGAACGUCGUGAGACAGUUCGGUCCCUAUCUGCCGUGGGCGCUGGAGAAUUGAGGGGGGCUGCUCCUAGUACGAGAGGACCGGAGUGGACGCAUCACUGGUGUUCGGGUUGUCAUGCCAAUGGCACUGCCCGGUAGCUAAAUGCGGAAGAGAUAAGUGCUGAAAGCAUCUAAGCACGAAACUUGCCCCGAGAUGAGUUCUCCCUGAGACUAUAAGUCUCCUGAAGGAACGUUAAAGACGAUGACGUUGAUAGGCCGGGUGUGUAAGCGCAGCGAUGCGUUGAGCUAACCGGUACUAAUGAACCGUGAGGCUUAACCUUACAACGCCGAAG
rnacentral:rRNA from 1 species